AAAACAGAACUCUGAGGUGUGAGAGAAACUCAUGUUAAUUGGGAGAAGAGACGUCUUAAGGAGUGAAGGUGCUGGCACAAGUACCCGAGAGGAAGGUUUACCAGCGCCUUCCUGGCCUCGCCCACGAGGUCUUCCUCUCAAGGUGACAGUUUGCGGCUCACAUUAGGAGCUGAAAAUUGACAACGGUCGGCUGGUGCUUGUCAGACCUGCGAG
rnacentral:lncRNA from 1 species